rnacentral:rRNA from 1 species
GAAAGUUACUCAAGAGCAUAGAAUGGAUGCCUUGACACCAAAUUCCGAUGAAGGACGUAGCAAGCUGCGAUAAGCUUCGGUGAGCCGCUAAGCAGGCUUUGACCCGGAGAUUUCCGAAUGGGGCAACCCCGUCAGAGUAAUGUCUGAUGAUCCCGCAAGGGAAGGCAACCUGGAGAACUGAAACAUCUAAGUACCCAGGGAAAAGAAAUCAAUAGAGAUUCCCGUAGUAGUGGCGAGCGAACCGGGAACAGCCCAAACCAUCUGCAUGUAAGGUUGCAGCCGUUGUGCAGGUGGUGUUGCAAGAAUUGUCUUUCGGAAACUGCUUUUUCCGACAAUAUAUUAAUCUGAUAAGUGAAGGAGCCUGGAACGGACAACCAUAGAGGGUGAGAGUCCCGUAACAUAAAUCAGUUUAAUACUUUGUGACAGUCUCUUAAGUAGGGUCGGACACGUGCAAUCCGGCUUGAAGCUGGGAAGACCACUUUCCAAGGCUAAAUAGAUUUGGUGAUCGAUAGUGAACAAGUACCGCGAGGGAAAGGUGAAAAGCACCCCGGCGAGGGGGAUGAAAUAGUAUCUGAAAUUCUUUGCUUACAAGGAGUAGGAGCCCUUCGGGGUGACUGCGUACUUAUUGGAGAACGGACCAUCGAGUUAGCUGUAUGGCGCGUCAGGCUAAGGGAGUUAUACCCGGAGCCGAAGUGAAAGCGAGCCUGAAUAGGGCGAUUUGUGUCAUGCACUAGACCCGAAACCGGGUGAUCUACCCAUGGGCAGGAUGAAGUCCUACGAGAGUGGGAUGGAGGUCCGAACACACGGAUGUUGCAAGAUCCGGUGAUGACCUGUGGGUAGGGGAGAAAUUCCAAUCGAACCCGGAGAUAGCUGGUUCUCCCUGAUAUAGUUUUUGGACUAGCCUUACGUGAAAGUUAGUGGGGGUAGAGCUCUGUUUAGACUAGGGGGCGUAUAUAGUCUACCAAAUCUAGACAAACUUCGAAUACCAUUGACCUCUUUCGUAGGAGUCGGACGAUGACAGCUAAGUGCCAUCGUCGUGAGGGGAACAGCCCAGACCGUCGUCUAAGGUCCCCANNNNNNNNNNNNNNNNNNNNNNNNNNNNNNNNNNNNNNNNNCUGCGCCGAAAAUUCAACGGGGCUUAAGUUUGUAACCGAAGACACGGGUUUUUAACACUAGUUAAAAGCGGUAAGGGAGCGUUCUUAUUGCAGUGAAGCCGGCCUGUGAAGUCCGGUGGAGCGGUAAGAAGUGAAAAUGAUGGUAUGAGUAACGUUUUAUGUUUCAUGAAAAAUGAGACCACCGAAAACCCAAGGUUUCCCAAGCAACGUUAAUCGACUUGGGGUUAGUCGGUCCUAAGGUGAGGCCGAAAGGNNAACAGGUUAAUAUUCCUGUACAGCCUGUUUUUCGCCCAAGCAAAGUGUUUCAAAUUGAAAGAUGUAUAUUUGCGACUUCGGUCAAAGAUAUAAGGAAUUCGAAGAGAGACAUGGCGCUAACUCAGGGAAGACGCAUCAGGUUAACAUGAGCGUGUUAAUGAAUUCACGUGCAAGCAGUAAGUUUAUGCUCUGGCAGGCAAAUCCGUCAGAGUUCGCGAGCUGUGAUGCAAAAUACUCUGCUUCGGCAGGGCGAUUCAUGUGAUAUCAGGUGCCAAGAAAAUUCUCGGUAGUGAGAAAAGCAGGUUUCCGUACCGCAAACCAACGCUGGUGGGUAGGUAGAGUAUACUAAGGUGAUCGAGAUAACUAACGUUAAGGAACUCGGCAAUACAGCAGGCGUAACUUCGGGAUAAGCCUUGCCAAUAUUUUAUGUUGGCCGCAGUAAAUGACUUCAUGCGACUGUUUAUCAAAAACACAGGUGUCUGCAAAUUCGAAAGAAUAAGUAUAGGCGCUGAGGCCUGCCCAGUGCCAGAAGGUCACGAGGAGGGGUGCAAGCUCUGAAUCCAAGCCCUGGUGAACGGCGGCCGUAACUAUAACGGUCCUAAGGUAGCGAAAUUCCUUGUCGGGUAAGUUCCGACCCGCACGAAUGGCUUAACGGUGUGAAGACUGUCUCAACGUUAGACUCGGUGAAAUUACAGAGUCGGUAAAAAUGCCGAUUAAACAUGGUAGGGCGAAAAGACCCCGUGAAGCUUUACUACAGCUUGGCAUUGAGCCGAGAUAUAGCUUGUGCAGUAUAGAUGGGACGCUUUGAAGGGUGGACGUCAGUUCACUUGGAGCGGUCGUUGAGAUACCAUCCUGGCUAUAUUUUGUCUCUAACCUCUGGUUUUAAACGAUCAGGGGGACAUUGCUUGGUGGGUAGUUUGACUGGGGCGGUUGCCUCCUAAAAUGUAACGGAGGCGCGCAAUGGUUCUCUAGACUUGGAUGGAAAUCAAGUCGUUAGUGUAAUCGCAUAAGAGAGCUUAACUGCAAGACGAACAUGUCGAGCAGAUACGAAAGUAGGCGAUAAUGAUCCGAUAGUUCCACGUGGGUGGGCUAUCGCUCAUCGGACAAAAGUUACUCCGGGGAUAACAGGCUGAUCACGCCCAAGAGUUCACAUCGACGGCGUGGUUUGGCACCUCGAUGUCGGCUCGUCGCAUCCUGGGGCUGGAGAAGGUCCCAAGGGNNUUAAAGCGGUACGCGAGCUGGGUUCAGACCGUCGUGAGACAGGUCGGCCUCUACCCUCCAUGUUCGUAGGAAAAUUGAAGGAAGUUGCCCCUAGUACGAGAGGACCGGGGUGAACGAACCUCUAGUGUAUCUGUUGUCACGUCAGUGGCACGGCAGAGUAGCUAUGUUCGGACGGGAUAACCGCUGAAAGCAUCUAAGUGGGAAGCCUCUCCUAAGAUAAAUUUUCCCAAUUAUCCUCCCGGGAGACUACCGGGUAUAUAGGGUUCAGGUGUAAGCGCAGUGAUGUGUUGAGCCGAGAAUUCCUAACAGGAGAUCGACUUUUUAUG